UUCCUUGUAAAAGCAGAGACAACCUCUGCCACCCCCCAUUGCCAUGAUAACUGCAGGGGACAAGCAAUUUCACGCAGUAAUUUCGCACGCCUGGAGAUGCGCUCAUAGCUCAAGUCAGCGAAUUGUUUAUUAAGCGAAGAGGAUUUGCGAGAAGCGCAGCUGAGAGGCAAUACAAUGACUGGACUUGCAAAUCUCCCAGCCGGGGAUGUGCUGUUCUGGAAGGGGAUGUGAAGUGUCUCUGAGUUUGAACGUCGUGAGUCUGAUUCUGCUCUUAGCCUGUACACUAGGAGUCAGGAGUGACUCCGUUGAAGUCAAAGGAGAUACGCCAGUGCAAAACUGGUGCAACGGAGAGAAAGACGAACACGGCGAUCCCGCUGAAACUUGAAUCAUAUUUACAUCCCAUUGAUGUCAACAGGACUUAAGUCCAUGCUUACUUUUCUGAAUAGGGACUGGCUUAUGUCCCUGCUGACACUGAAGCAGGUACUUAAAUGCUUUGCUGACUCUGGGCCUAAGGGCCUCAUCCAAACCCAUCAAAGUCAAAUGGAAUCUUUCCAUCAACUUCCUUGGUCUUUGAAUCAUAUAAUACAGCGCCGUUCAUUCAGGAGACUCAAAGCACUCCAUAAACACUGGCUAAAUAGCCUCCCAAAAUCCCUGUCUGGUACAUUCUGGCUAUGUAGGGUCAUUUACACUUACCAUUAAAUGCAGUCACUCCUCAGUGGAAUCCUAAAGGCAGCUCCUAAACAUCACCUGACACAGCAAUCUAGGACAGGAAGUGAAGAAGGAUACUCCAUCCAAUUAUGACAGAAAGAAGAAAUGUAAGGGAGAACAUUGACCCAGGGACAUAGCUAUGGCAGAAGGGGUAACAUCCCCAUUUCUAAAGAGAAAUGUUAUGGUAGCUUAAAUGACCACAAACGAUCAGGGCUUUAAUGAAGCAACACGGUCUAGUGGGUAAGGCAGUAGUUUGGGGCUCAGAGGAGCUGGUUUCUGGUCGACACUUCGCCACCAACCUGCUGUGUGACCUUGGACAAGUAGCGGAACCUCUCUUUCUGCUCCUACACUGUGUCUGUCUUCUCUGUUUGGAUUGUCCGCUCUUCUGGGCAGGGACUCUCACUCACCAUAUGUGUACAGUGUCUGGCACAAUGGAGCCUUGGUCUUAGGUGAGGCCUCUGUAUGCUACCAUAACAUAAACAAAACAAUAAUAAACUGAGAGAUGGACCUUCUGGCAGCACAGGGUCCCCUAGCAUCACACCGGGGGAUUGGAUCCCUUCACCUAUCUGUACUCUGGAUGUCUCCCAUCCAAAAUGGAGCCAGCCCAUUGCUUGAGGUGGAAUGACUGCAGGCCACGAGCAUUCUUCUUUCCAAGGAUAAAAUAAUCCAAUGCCCUUGGAGAGUGCCGGACAAAUGCAUCGCCUAGCCUUUCGCUUUAAUCCAAUUGCAGUCGCUUCCCAGAACUCCCUCCUGAAAGCUGGCGGUGCAGUCUCCAGUACCUUUAUGUUCCCAGGUAAAAGAGCCGUAGCGCAAAGAGGAUGGAAAGCACAUUUCAGAACAGCAAUUCCUUACUGCCAAGCUGGAGGAUGUCACUUAACCGUGAGAAAGCAGGGAAGGAAGAAGGAACUCUCCUUUGCUGUCAGAAUCCUUCAGAGAGCAUUAGGAGAGAGGCUGUGUUCAGGGCUGCAUCUUGAGUAAAUCCUGGUUUAGCUGAUUGGCCCACAAUCCUCUCCUU